CCUACGGGAGGCAGCAGUGAGGAAUAUUGGUCAAUGGGCGCAAGCCUGAACCAGCCAAGUAGCGUGAAUGAUGACUGCCCUAUGGGUUGUAAACUUCUUUUAUGUGGGAAUAAAGUGCAGUAUGUAUACUGCUUUGCAUGUACCUUAUGAAUAAGGAUCGGCUAAGUCCGUGCCAGCAGCCGCGGUAAUACGGAGGGUUCGAGCGUUGUCCGGAUUUCUUGGGGUUAAAGGGAGCGUAGGCGGGUAGUUAAGUCCGCUGUGAAAUUUUGCGGCUCAACCGUGAAAGUGCAGCUGAUACUGGCGACCUUGAGUGCAGUAGAGGUAGGCGGAAUUCGUGGUGUAGCGGUGAAAUGCUUAGAUAUCACGAAGAACCCCGAUUGCGAAGGCAGCCUGCUGGACUGUAACUGACGCUGAUGCUCGAAAGUGUGGGUAUCAAACAGGAUUAGAUACCCGAGUAGUC
rnacentral:rRNA from 1 species